UUCCGAUGAGGUAGACAUCCCCAAUAAGUAUAGGAAGUGCCGUAUGACACUUUAAACCGCACCGGAUCA
rfam:Helianthus annuus linkage group 4, whole genome shotgun sequence.